UCCAAUGUGGUCUAGUGGUUUAGGAUUCCUGGCUUUCACCCAGGCGGCCCGGGUUCGAUUCCCGGCAUUGGAA